UGAGAAUAAUAACCCUCCAGAUUUAAAACGUAAACUGUCACCUGUAGUCAUUGUUACGAUUUCAGGUAAAAUCCCUUUUAUUUUCAUGUUGGCUGUGCGUGCUCACACAGCCAGUCCCUUCGUUUAUAUCUUUAAUAUUCAUUUGUCUGCAAGCGCUGCCAACGUAGGCUACCCGUAGACGCGAAGUAUAGCUGCACAAAUAGUCACGAGUAAUGUCAGCACUGCACGUAGCAGCUGACGCUGCCUUCCCCUCGCCCCUCACCACCCAACCCGUCGUAAACCUAUCGUUCCCCACAAACUCCGCGCGAUUCGUCGACAGGCAACAGAGGGAGGACUGAAGUGAAGUGAGUGACGUAGCACCGAUGUAGUGGGAGAGGGGAAGAGAGUGAGUGAACUAGAAAAAAGUGUGGAGUGUGCUAUCUGUGACGAGUUUGAAGUACCAGUUCAUUGAAAUUGAGUGGUUAGUUCACACUUCACUGAAGUGAAGCGUUCAUUUGAACGACUCAUUCACGAGCUCCCCAUCACUAGGUAUUACACUGUCAUCAAAUUUUUCGUCCAAGUUCAAGAUGGCUGACAACAACUUGUUAUUAACCGCAGCAGUUGUACGAACCCCAAUUGCAUUGUGUGCACAUGCGGAAAAGAAGUGGGGGAAAAAUGGACCCAUACAUACGAGGUUGACAGUCUUAAAAGUCCUGGGAUUACAACUUGAUAAUAAAUUCAGUUGGGAGGAGCACACCACAGAACUGCAGAAAGGCCUUAGCAAAUCUGUAUUUGCAAUUCGAGUGUUAGCAGACAUAGGCAACAUAAAAAUGAAAAAAAAGCUUCAUUCCAUAAUGUCAUAUUGGAUAAUAUUUUGGGGUAAAUCUUGAAGUCAAACAAAAGUUUUCAGAGUCCAAAAGCGUGUAAUACGUAUUAUUUGUGGAGUAAAUUCAUGGACGUCCUACAGAUCCCUCUUCAAAGAACUGGACAUACUAACUACUGCCUCUCAGUAUAUUUAGUUCUUAAUGAAAUUUGUCGUAAAUAAUGUAUCUCUUUUUCCAACAAACAACUCAGUUCAUACAUACAAUACCAGGAACAAAAAUGAUCUGCACAAGGACUUAAAAGCACUUACUAUAGUUCAAAAAGGGGUCCACUACUCAGGAACACUCAUCUUCAAUAAUUUGCCAGGAAACAUAAAAAAUUUAGUUAGAAAUAAAGAUCAGUUUAAAAGGAGCCUGAAAAACUUACUACUGGCCAACUCCUUCUAGUCCAAAGGAUUGCCAAACAAAGUUUUACAACAUGAGGAACAUGAAUGUUCAGAAUAGAAAAUGGAAAGAGAGUAUGAGAAGCGGAGUUGGAACAGAUGAUGUGUAUACGCCUGCUUUGUGGUACUUUCACAGAUAAAAAUUUCUGGAAGAACACUACAUUCCUCGCAAUAGCGUGGCAACACCAUUAUCGUCGUCAUCCUCACCAUCAACUGAACAGUUGUAUUUUUCAGAUGGAUGAAAGCUCAGUCGAUAAUAAUGCUGUGUGAGCUUCCACACAUGACAUGAUGGUGGAGAAUGAUAUAGAUUUCAGUGAAGAAACUGAAGUAAUAGCUGAAGUAUCUUCGCCAGUAACUACAUUGAGUAUAGGACAGAGUGGUGCAGCAAGUAAUUCUUCACCAAAAAGAAGGACAUGGAGUGAGGAAUUAAUAGCUGAAAGAUUACGGACUAAUAGUGAUGAUGUUGACAUAUUUGUGAAAUAUUUGUCCACUGAGAUGAAGGCCAUUAGAAGCCACAAAACAAGAAUGUUAGUUAAACAACAAAUUCUCCAACUUGUGUAUGAGGCUGUUCUCAAUCAAUAAAUGGUAUCUAAUCAUUUUUUCAUGGAA